CCCAGUCAAACACCUAAUACCUUGCACCAUGUUGAACACUACCCGAGACACUACCAAGUAUGCCAGUUGCACACUUUUGUUUUCAGAAAGAACCUGGAUCCUUAACAGUAGAUUUUUCAAAUCCCAAACGUAUAACGGAACCCACACAACGCUAAAGUAAUCUAAUGUGAAAAUAACAAGUAAAUGCACCAAAUUUUAGUCUAGCAUUAUAAAGUUCUCACCUAUACUUCUCGUGUUCAUAUAUGUUAAUGUAAUCAACAAUUUCAACUGUGAGUAGUACCUUAGGUCUUAACAUAAGUACACUUAGCAGUGGAAAGUAUAGCUAUACUGUAAAAAUAGUAACACACUGACAGCGCAGAAUUACUCGUCCCGAUAUAUCUGUUUAGAAUGUUAUUCCAGCGUAUUAACUGUGUAAUUUAGAAUACACUUUUACUCAGUAGUCAAACAACGGAUGGAUACUUGUUUGUAUAAUGUAUUUUAACUAAACUCGCAAGUGCAAAUUGGAACUUUAGUAUGUAACAACAUAAAAAGUGCAGUCUGACUGCAGACUAACUGUUUACAAAAGCCCAAUACUGCAGUCGUGAAUAAACUACAGAAAUUACCGACUUUUUUCUACAGUUUAAA